UUGAACGCUGGCGGCAGGCCUAACACAUGCAAGUCGAGCGGAUGAAGGGAGCUUGCUCCUGGAUUCAGCGGCGGACGGGUGAGUAAUGCCUAGGAAUCUGCCUGGUAGUGGGGGAUAACGUCCGGAAACGGGCGCUAAUACCGCAUACGUCCUGAGGGAGAAAGUGGGGGAUCUUCGGACCUCACGCUAUCAGAUGAGCCUAGGUCGGAUUAGCUAGUUGGUGGGGUAAAGGCCUACCAAGGCGACAAUCCGUAACUGGUCUGAGAGGAUGAUCAGUCACACUGGAACUGAGACACGGUCCAGACUCCUACGGGAGGCAGCAGUGGGGAAUAUUGGACAAAGGGCGAAAGCCUGAUCCAGCCAUGCCGCGUGUGUGAAGAAGGUCUUCGGAUUGUAAAGCACUUUAAGUUGGGAGGAAGGGCAGUAAGUUAAUACCUUGCUGUUUUGACGUUACCAACAGAAUAAGCACCGGCUAACUUCGUG
rnacentral:rRNA from 1 species